UACGGGGGGAGCAAGCGUUGUUCGGAUUUACUGGGCGUAAAGGGCGCGUAGGCGGUCAGCACAAGUCAGUUGUGAAAUCUCCGGGCUUAACUCGGAAAGGUCAACUGAUACUGUGCGACUAGAGUGCGGAAGGGGCAACUGGAAUUCUCGGUGUAGCGGUGAAAUGCGUAGAUAUCAGGAGGAACACCAAUAGCGAAGGCAGCUCGCUGGGACGGUACUGACGCUAAGGCGCGAAAGCGUGGGGAGCGAACAGG
rnacentral:rRNA from 1 species